UACGUAGGCAGCAAACGUUGUUCGGAAUUACUGGGCGUAAAGAGUGUGUAGGCGGUUUCGUAAGUUUGGUGUGAAAUCUCCCGGCUUAACUGGGAGGGUGCGCCGAAAACUGCGAGGCUUGAGUACUGGAGAGGAGAGCGGAAUUCCUGGUGUAGCGGUGAAAUGAGUAGAUAUCAGGAGGAACACCGGUGGUGUAGACGGCUCUCUGGACAGUCACUGACGCUGAGACACGAAAGCGUGGGGAGCAAACAGG
rnacentral:rRNA from 1 species